rnacentral:lncRNA from 1 species
UAUAUAUAUAUAUUGCCUUUACUGGUGCAUAGUACACUAGUACACUGCGGUAUGACUAUAUCAUCAUUCAGUUAUUUGUUUCUGUUUUGUUGAUAAUGAGCAGUGGAAUAGUUGGAUCACAGGGACAAAGAACAUUCACAUUCAGCAAUUAAGGCCAAACAGACUGACAAAGUUGUCCUGAUUUACAUUUCCACUGGAGUUUCCAUUGUGUCCUGAACUUGCUAACAUUCGGUACCAUCGGUUUGCUUCAUUUAGCCAUUAUGGUACACGUGUGGUCAUUUGUUAUGUCUUAAUUAGCAUUUUUCUAAUUUCUGCAGUCAAGCAACAUUUUAUAUAUUUGAUAAACAUUUGUGUAUCUUCUUUUGUGUUCAAGACAUUUGUCCUUAAUUUCACCGGAUUAUCUUUAUUAUCUUUAAUGACCCUUCACAUAGUCUAGAUAUAAUCCCUAUCCUAUGUUUCAACCCUUUCUUGUUAAUAUUUGGAUGAGUUUAUCAGGAUAUGCUGGUGGAGAAAAAAAACUCUACAUAUCAAUAGAUGUAUACAAAAAUACUUAGAUGUGCUGCAGGCCAUUGGGUUUGGGGACAGCUAUUUUUUCCACAUAGUUACUCCAGGGCCCCAAAUGACAAGUGCUACACCAUGUAGAGUGCUGCUGCUUUCUAUGGCCAGUAAAUCACAGAAAACUGACAAAUUUAAAUGAGAAAUUUGAACUUUUUUUUGUGUGAACAAAUUCUUCACAAAUUGUUGAUAGACCUUUAUUUCAUCUUUAUGUGGUGCUGAGGAUCGAACCCAGUGCCUCACACACACUAGGCAAGCGUUCUACCACUGAGCCACAACCCCAGCCCUAUGGACAUGUCUUUUUAAUAUCAGAAUCUUGCACUUGAAUCAGUAAGAUGCAGUUCCUGGUGGAGGAUUUUAAGUGAUGAUAUUUUCAAGUUCUUGAUAUGAUCAUUAAUAAAACUUGAUGCAUAAUAAAUUUGCAGGAAGAAAACAAAAUGACCACAGAUGAACUUGUAUUUGAAGAUUCCAAGAACAUUUUUUUCCUUUUCUUGACAAAUCAAUGUUGAAAUUGCUCAUGAAAAUGGGAAUAGAUUUUGAAUCCAAUUCAGUUCUGUCAACUGUUUCAAAUUACGAUGAGGUCUGAUUUGUAGCCACAUCUUGAAACUAGCAUAAACACUAUAAAGGGGGAAUAUCUGCCCCAGACAGAUACCUGUAUGCUCUUUGUGAGAACAGAAAUUCAGGGAUCUAGGUUGCUUCCCUCACCAACAGUCCCUGCCCUCCUUGCUGGAUAAUCUCUCUAACUGCAUGAGUUAACCUUUGGGUACCUGAAAUAUAUGCUCCUGCAACAACAGCCCUCUUUACUUGAUGAACAGCAAUACACUCUAACUGGCUGCUCAAGUCAUCAAGUGACUGACUGCUGAACAGUGUGUGGCAGUGAGGUAAUGGGGGCCAGAUGGCAUUCAUCCAGCUUGCCACCUUCAGAGAACUGAGAAAGAACAGCUAUGCUUGGAAAAGUUCUGCAGGGAGGUUUGUGCUAAGGCAGAAGCAACAAGUGGUAAGAUGUAUCUGGCCAAGCUCCCUAGUGCUGGACUCUGACUCUUUCCACAAUGUGCUGGGCACAAAUUAACUGGACUCUUUAGGCAAUUAUAAGGACAUUCUUUCUAUUUAACACAUGAUGAAGCGAAGGCACAGAAAGAUCAGAUGCCAUAUGCAGAGUGACACAGAGGGCUAAGUGAGGAGUCAGGCACCUGGUUCUAUAGUUGUUGCUCCAGCCCAUCACCUUCAACAAAUGUCCCAUGAUUUGCUCAAAGUGAAACCCAUCACACAAUUCCAAAGAAUGGCCAAGUUGUGUGUGAGUAUCAACUAUCUUCAGUGUGGGAAUAAUUUUAUAUGAUUUAGCUGCAUAAAUUUAAUAAAAUAAGAAGUAAAGUUAUUAUUCUUUAGAAUUCAGGUGCAUAGAAGUGACAUAAUCAGCCACAGUAUAUUUCACACUAUAGUACUUACUUCUUACUUCUUAUAUUCAUAUUUAAUUCAUUCAUUUUGCCUUUAUUUUCCUCACUUUCAUCCCUUUGAACAUCCCUAAUAGCACCUCAUAUUCACCCCAAAUCAUCAAGUCACCAUACACUUUGUGAAUCCCAUUUACAUGAUAGCUUUUGGUGACUUAUCUUUUUAUGUUUUCAAAUUUUUCAUUCGAAAUAUUUCUGUGAGUUCUCACACUGUCCCUCAUAAGUAUAGUAAUUUCCUUUACACUGCUACAUGGUACCCCAUCAUUUCCAAUACCACAUUUUAUCUACCCAGGUAUUGUGGACAGACCUUACAAUUGUUGCCCACUCUGGUUGUCUAACCAUGCUGGACAGUCUCUUUGUGUAGAACAAUUUUCCUCAAGAAUAUAUCUCAAGGAAUAGCGUCAAGUCACAUUCUGUGUACAGAUACUAAUUCACCCUGCAGAAAAGUUGGACCUAACUAUAUUUAAGAAACAGAGAGAGAUCCAAUUUCCCACACUUAUAUCUGACCUUAAUCUUAGCAGUAAAAAGUAGCAUUUCAUUGCUUUUGCUUUUAUUAGUUUGAGAAUUUUCCUCACUAAUGAGAUUGAAUAAUCUUUAUCAUUUUUUAGCUAUUAUGUUCCUUCCUACAGAUUUUUAAAUUACAUCCUUUCUUGGCUAACUAGUAGCACUCCUGCCUCAUUAUUUCUAAAUUGAAAGAAUUUCUUAUAUAUUCAAGAUUUUAAUCCUUUUUAUUCAUAUUGUAUACUAGAAUCAUCUCCUACUCUAUGACCCGUCUUGUUAUUUUUGCCCAUGGGAAUGAUUGGUAUAAUAGAAAUUGUUACUUGUGUGUUAUUCAAAAUCUUCAAAUUUUCUCUUCAUAUACUGUAUUUUAUGCAUUUUUUAUGUUUUUACAUUUUCUUGAGGUUUAACAUGCACAAAAGACAUAGAUUCCAAUGAAUGUUUACAUAUGUGCAAAUCCUUGUGACAAUCACGCAAAGCAACACAUAGAACAUUUUUAGCAUCUGAGAAGGUUCUUAUAUGCAUUUUACAAAAAAAAAAAAAACCCACACUCCUGUCCUCCCCCUCUGUCCUAUGCUGUCAUUCACAUGUUUGUUCUUCAGCUUCAUAUAAAGGGGAUCAUACGUUAGGCAAUCCUUCGUGUCUGGAUUCAUGCACUCAUUGCUACCACAGUGAGAUUCCUAUACAUUGUGGGCAACAGAAGUUCUAUUUGUCCAUGUGCAGUUUUACACUGAAUAAAUUGUUUUGGUUAGCUUUUUCACUUUGUGACCAAAGACCUGAUGAAAACAAUUUUAGAGAAAGAAAAGUUUAUUAGGGGUUCAUGACUUCAAAGGUCUCAGUCCAAAGACAGAGGACUCUUGCUUUCUGCCCAAAAUGAGGCAGAACAUAACAUCAUGGCAGAAAGGUGUGGAGGAGGAACAGCUCAGGACAUGACUACCAAGAAGCAGAGAGAGAUUGCUACCCUUAUCACAGACAAAAUAUAAACCCCAAAGGCUUGCCCUCAGUGCCCCAUCUCCUCUGGCCUCACCCUGUCUACAGUUACCACCCACUAAUCCCUAUCAGAGAACUAAUGCACUGAUUAGGUUAAGGUUCUCAAAACCAAUCAUUUCACCUCUAAACUUUCUUGCAUUGUCUCAUACAUGAGCUUUUUGGGGACAGCUCAUAUCUAAACCAUAACAUAAAUAGACCACAAUUUAUCCAUUAAUUAAAAGUUAAUGGUUCCAAUUUGGUGCUAUUAUAAACUGUUAUAUAUUAUAUAUAACAGACUUUUCAAACACAUUUUGUAUAUAAAUCUUUAAGUGGAUACAUGCACUCAUUUCUCUUUAAUAAAGUUUUCUAUAAUGCUAUGGAUAUAUAAAAUUUCUAGGUCAAGGGAUGUGUAUGUAUUUGGUACUAAUAGGUAUUACAAAACCAGUUUUCAAGUGGUUGUCCCAGUUAGCACUCCAAAGAGCAAUAUCCAAGAGCUCUAAUUGUUCCUUGCCAUGAUUUUGUGUUGUUGGUCUUCUUGAUUAUAGCCAUUCUCAUGAGUGUUUAACAGAAUCAUAUUGUGCUUAUUCUUUGUGUCUAAAUAUUUAACUUCAAUUCUCUGGUUUUUAACUAAUUGGUAUGAGGAACAUUAAGUUGAGAGUGCUACUGUAAUAAUUAGUACACAUGGACAAUCAGUAUGCCCCAGGCAAUUUCCUGUUCCAAGAGAAGAUUAUUACCAUUUUUUGUUUUUGUUUGUGUUUUAGUACUGGACAUCAAACUUAGGGCCUUGCAUAUAAUGGGCAAGCACUCUGCCACUGAGCUAUACCCUAGCCCUUUUUUAUUUUAUUUUGAGUGAGGGUCUUAAUAAGCUGCCAUGACUGACCUGGAACAUGUGAUACCCUGCCUCAGUCUCCAGAGUAGCUGGGAUUACAGGUGUUCAACACCAGAUCCAGCAAGAUAUUAUUAUUUAAGAAUAUUUUCUAAUGUGUAUAUUAACUUUAAUCAACUUUAUUUUCAACAUCUGGUUAUGCAUAAAAUUCUUUAUUUUAAUGUUUUCAUUGUCUAAUGUGUUACCAGAUUUCUUAGUGUAAACCCCUUGCUAAAUAACUAGAAUUCAAUGCAGUGUAUUAUGCUGUUAAUGUAUUACCACACUGUCUACUUGGAAUGUUUCUGUUGCUAUUGAUAGGCAAGCUUGAUUUGUUGACAUUUGUAUACGCUAUAUUUGGGGAGCUUUAAUAUCAAGGUUACAUUUUGUUUAUAAAAGACAUUAAAUUUUUUCUGCCUCUCUUCUCUAGAAUUGGUCAAAUAGUAUUGACUAGGUCUGGUUCAAAGCACGGUGAGAACUUUCUUUGCCACUCUCCAGCCUGAUCCUGUUUUUAGGAAGUAACUCUGAGAGCAAGCCCUGCUUAUUCUGCAGCAUCUAGCUUACUUAUGUUUUCUUUAAGGCAAUGUAAUAAACUGAAACCAGAGACUCUGGUACCAGAGGCCUGGGGUUAAAAAUAUUGUUACAUGAUGAUUAGCUAUUGUCCUCAGGAAGACCACCUGUCCUAAUGUACCUCUAUUUCUUCAAUUGAAAAAUGAGAAUCAUAAAAUAAUUAUAAUAAUAGUAAUAAUGAUGAUGAUGAUAAUACUUAUAGGUUUGUUGGAAAUUUUUUAAAGUAUUAAGGUAUGUAAAGCCCUCAGAACAGUGUCAUCUGACACAGAUUAAACAGCCUUUAGUGAUAUUAUUUCGUCUCUUCUGGGGGCAAUUUGGGCAAUUUAUCUUCUUGUAGAAAAUGUAUUUCAUCAAAUUAAACUGCACAAUAUGGGUAGAGUCAUCUCUUCUGUGUCUUCAAAUUCCCUUCACAUUUUUUUGUUACUUCCUCAUUAUCACUUUUUAUAUUUUAUUGGCAUCCUGCUCUGUUCACUUUGAUUGGUUUUCCUAACAGUUUUAUGGUCUACUUUUCCUCCCAAUGAACUAACAUGAGAUGUAUUCAUUAUUUGCAGUGAUUUUCAGCUUCUACUUCAUUGUCUGCCCUGAUUUUUAUUUGUUUUUUCUUUUUCUUUAUUUUAUUUCUCAGUUUGGGGGAAUAUACUUGCUUAAUGUUGUUAUUUACUACUUGAUUUAUCUGUUUCGAACAUCUUUUGAUCAACAAUAACAAAAGAUAAGAAAAUCAACGUAUUUUUAUUAUUCUCCACAAAGUAGUUUCUUCAAAAAAAGUUCCUGAAACCACGUUCUCAGAGUUUCUACCUGUUUGAACUCUUGUUUUCCUUUCUCUCUCUUUUUUUUUUUUUUUAUUUGGAUGAGAGCCU